UUGACAAAGUGUUCAUUGAGAGUAACAUAAGCCCCAGCGUCAAAGGUGGAAGUGUGGGUAUCCCUAUUAAAGUUGCAGGACAAACCAGGUUCUCAGUGCAAAUCAGGAUGCCCGUGAGGGGGCUGAUACCUGCUUCACCACCCUCUUGAUGUCAUCACAUAUG
rnacentral:lncRNA from 1 species